GAUGAACGCUGGCGGCGUGCCUAAUACAUGCAAGUCGAGCGAACAGACGAGGAGCUUGCUCCUCUGACGUUAGCGGCGGACGGGUGAGUAACACGUGGAUAACCUACCUAUAAGACUGGGAUAACUUCGGGAAACCGGAGCUACUACCGGAUAAUAUAUUGAACCGCAUGGUUCAAUAGUGAAAGACGGUUUUGCUGUCACUUAUAGAUGGAUCCGCGCCGCAUUAGCUAGUUGGUAAGGUAACGGCUUACCAAGGCGACGAUGCGUAGCCGACCUGAGAGGGUGAUCGGCCACCCUGGAACUGAGACGCGGUCCAGACUCCUACGGGAGGCAGCAGUAGGGAAUCUUCCGCAAUGGGCGAAAGCCUGACGGAGCAACGCCGCGUGAGGGAUGAAGGUCUUCGGAUCGUAAAACUCUGUUAUUAGGGAAGAACAAAUGUGUAAGUAACUAUGCACGUCUUGACGGUACCUGAUCAGAAAGCCACGGCUAACUACGUG
rnacentral:rRNA from 1 species